CCUGGUCGGACAUCAGGAGGUUAGUGCAAUGGCAAAAGCUAGCUUGACUGCGAGAGUGACGGCUCGAGCAGGUACGAAAGUAGGUCAUAGUGAUCCGGUGGUUCUGAAUGGAAGGGCCAUCGCUCAACGGAUAAAAGGUACUCCGGGGAUAACAGGCUGAUACCGCCCAAGAGUUCAUAUCGACGGCGGUGUUUGGCACCUCGAUGUCGGCUCAUCACAUCCUGGGGCUGAAGUAGGUCCCAAGGGUACGGCUGUUCGCCGUUUAAAGUGGUACGCGAGCUGGGUUUAGAACGUCGUGAGACAGUUCGGUCCCUAUCUGCCAUGGGCGUAGGAAAAUUGAGAGGGUUUGCUUCUAGUACGAGAGGACCGAAGUGAACGCACCGCUGGUGUACGGGUUGUGAUGCCAAUUGCAUUGCCCGGUAGCUACGUGCGGGAUAGAUAAGUGCUGAAAGCAUCUAAGCACGAAACUAGCCUUGAGAUGAGUUUUCCCAGAUGAGAAUCUGUAAGGUCCGUUUGAGACUAAGACGUAGAUAGGUCAGGUGUGUAAGUGUAGUGAUACAUUGAGCUAACUGAUACUAAUGAACCGAGAGUCUUAACCUUACAACUC
rnacentral:rRNA from 1 species